rnacentral:rRNA from 1 species
UGGGAGGCUUUGAAGUGUGGACGCCAGUCUGCAUGGAGCCGGCCUUGAAAUACCACCCUUUAAUGUUUGAUGUUCUAACGUGGACCCGUUACCCGGGUUGCGGACAGUGUCUGGUGGGUAGUUUGACUGGGGCGGUCUCCUCCUAAAGAGUAACGGAGGAGCACGAAGGUUGGCUAAUCCUGGUCGGACAUCAGGAGGUUAGUGCAAUGGCAUAAGCCAGCUUGACUGCGAGCGUGACGGCGCGAGCAGGUGCGAAAGCAGGUCAUAGUGAUCCGGUGGUUCUGAAUGGAAGGGCCAUCGCUCAACGGAUAAAAGGUACUCCGGGGAUAACAGGCUGAUACCGCCCAAGAGUUCAUAUCGACGGCGGUGUUUGGCACCUCGAUGUCGGCUCAUCACAUCCUGGGGCUGAAGUAGGUCCCAAGGGUAUGGCUGUUCGCCAUUUAAAGUGGUACGCGAGCUGGGUUUAGAACGUCGUGAGACAGUUCGGUCCCUAUCUGCCGUGGGCGCUGGAGAACUGAGGGGGGCUGCUCCUAGUACGAGAGGACCGGAGUGGACGCAUCACUGGUGUUCGGGUUGUCAUGCCAAUGGCACUGCCCGGUAGCUAAAUGCGGAAGAGAUAAGUGCUGAAAGCAUCUAAGCACGAAACUUGCCCCGA